rnacentral:rRNA from 1 species
AUGGCUAGCUUAAUGCCGUCGCUUGCGAUGGACCUGCUACAAGAAGAAGGCGGUCACGAGGACAUUCUACCCGAGGACUUCGUCGGCGUCGGCGUCGUGGGAGAUGCAGACGACCCGGAGUUGGCCGCGUUGGUGGCCGGGGCGCUGAAGACGGUGGACACGCUGUCCGACGACGACGACGACGAGCUCAGCUGCCCGAUCUGCUUGGAGGAGGACGACGCCGCGGCGUGGAAGGAGACACCGUGCGGGCACCGGUUCCACAGGCGGUGCGUAGAGAGGUGGCUGCGGGAGAAAGAGAGCUGCCCCAUGUGCCGUCGCGAGGUCGUCACGAUGCCCGCCACCACCGCAGAAUGUGCUGCUGCUUUCCUAGAUUUCUUGGCAUCAUCGCCAACACCUUCCGCUCGCUCGAGCCACGUGCCGUGGACGCCAUCACUGCCGGGCUCUGCACACCUCCCGACACCUCCUGUCUACUACAUCGGCCCAUUGAUCAAGGCGGAGGAGGUGGGCGUGAAACAUGAACGAGAGUGCCUCGCAUGGCUAGACACACAGCCGAUGGCCAGCGUGGUGUUCCUAUGCUUCGGCAGCCGCAGCCUAUUCAGCGCAAAUCAGACCAGAGAGCUGGCCGUUGGCCUGGAGGCGAGUGGCAAAAGGUUCUUGUGGGUUGUGCGGAGCCCGCCCAGGGACAUCGACGACCCUGCGAAGAAGCUGGACAAGUUGCCGGAGCCGGACCUCGACGCUCUCCUCCCCGAGGGCUUCCUAGAGCGGACCAAGGGCACGGGUCUCGUCGUCAAGUCGUGGGCACCGCAGCGUGAUGUGCUGGCGCAUAACGCGAGUGUUCCUGGGGAAAGAGCUGGGCUGGCCGUGGCGGUGGAAGGGUAUGACAAGGAGGUGGUCCAGGCCGACGAAGUGGCGUCCAAGGUGAGGUGGAUGAUGGAGUCUGACGGCGGGAGGGUGCUCCGAGAGCGGACCUUGGCAGCCAUGCGGCUGGGCAAGGAGGCGCUGCUCCCUGGCGGGGAGUCGGUUGUGACCUUGACACAACUGGUGGAGAGCUGGAUGGCUUCACCUUCACAAGGGAGGUGA